UACCAUAUUCGAAAUUUUACAUGCAAACCUUUCCUUCUUUUUUUAAAGAUUGAAGUUGUGAGAGAGAAAUGAGAAAUAAUCUAUGUUAACAACCGCCGUCUACAUUUUUUUACAAAUUUAAGAGUCUUUUUAUUGAUGAAAAUAGUUUUUAACAAGUAAUAACGACGAACAGGGAAUUAAAAUUUUAUUUAAAAAUGCUGGUUUAGUGUGAAGUUGUAAAAAGCUAUUAACUGUGAUUAUCUAAUUAAUAAAUAAUACGAAAAAUGUUGAAAAAUUUAAGAAAAUUCUUUAAAAAUUAUCUGGUAAAACAGAUUUUAUUUCAGUCUCAGAUAAUAUAUUUACUUCUUUUUUCAUAUCCAUAAUAAAUGAACAUUUUUAACGAGGAUUGAAAGAAUGAAGUAUAAUUUUAGCACAUAGAUGAUAUCAGUGAAACGUAUUCUAUAUAACAGCGACAAAUAACGAAUCUGUAAAGAUGAGAUUCAUCCGUAAUUAUAAUUGAAACAAAAUUAUUUCAGUCAAGAAGCGAAGUUAAAGGAAGGUAGUACAAUGAUAUCUGAGAAUCUUGGUAAAGUCAGAAAAUAAUAGUUGUUCACGAUCGGUGAUUCAUAAUGAAAUUUUCGGUGAUUCAUUUUUAGCGAUGUUGUAACGAGGCUCAACGUUUGAAGCCGAUCACAGUGGUGUCCCCAAAAGAAAAUUACGAAAUAAAUCCAUGAGAACGGUGCUUGAUCGAGGAGUAGAAUUUCUUCAACGAUUGUCGAAAUCACUCAUUUCGAAGAUUUCGCUUUAAUUAAAACGCGCCAACGUUGAUAAUGAGGACCGAAUAUUGCUUGUAUAAUUUCCGAUCGAUAUAAGAAGUUUCAGAAAAUUUUAAGUUCAACAACCUCUGCAGAAUAAAGCCCUAACAUCGAGAUUUAGAUCCAUUGUGUUGUUCGACCAACAGUCAGCUAUUUAGAUACAUUCAUUGUAUGCAUAUAUACAUUAGGAUAUGUUCUAUAUUGGGAAAUUCUGACAAAUUUUAUUUUAUUUUAUAUUUUACAUUAAUUACAAAAUAAUAUCAACGAGAAUGCAAAUUUUAAUCUUGUUCAUCGCUUAAACCUUUCCCAUCAAUAUUCGUAGAUUUCAUAUAAUUUUCACAAUUCAGUAAUCCAAGAAAUUUUGCUUCUUCUUAUCUUGAAGAACUCUUUUAAAAUUAUUCAUCCUUAAGUGUAAGCAAUUUGUAUAUUUCGCAUAUAUUUUAUCCAUACAACACCACACCUACUUAACCAGUACAUUCAUGACUAUACAUUUACUUCAAUAAUCUAGUUUAUUAAACCAUGAAGAACUACCCUUUCUUGUAGUUGUACAAAGCCUCGGCUCUGAAACAUAGUUUCAUACUGAUCGUAUGAAAGAUACGGAAAACAUAAACACAAAAGUACUGCUCCGUAUCUUUUCUCAUCUUUCGUAUAUUAAAUUUUAGAACUAAGGUUAAAAUUGAUAUCAAUUUAAAAUUGAACUAUUAAUUUAAAGUUUAACUAUUAAACUUAAAAAUUACGGCCGAGGUUAACAUAUUUGAACACAUCUAUAUUUAUAUUCAGUUUAUUUCUAAAGCGAUUCCGAAGAAAGACGAUUUUUGUAUAGAGGCUAAUAAGCACAAAAGGCAGAACGUGCACCAUAGGACAACAAACUUGUAUAAGAGCAUAUCAUGAAAAGCUGAUAUCGCAAAAUACAUACAUAAGUAGAAGAAAGUUCUGUUAAAACGUGUAUAAACGCAAGAGGGCGGAUAUCAUCCGCAACUGUCUUCUUCGACUUCCUUUCGUUGUUCUCUUGCUUCCUAAAAUUUUCGUCGAAAGGAAGAACGCUUUUCAUCGUAACCACGUUUUCAGUAUCCAAAAAGGUAGGAAGCACCGAGGAGCAUAAAGAAGAUUGAGAAAACGAGGCUGGAAGAAUACGAAGAAACGAAGGAGGAGCUAUUCAGACAGUUUCCAGCAAGCAAUUUUUCGCCGUGUACACAAGCUCGUAUCUGCGUUCUCCCACUGUAAUUCCAAAAAGUGGGCUGAGCUAAAUGGAUUGCGAUGUCUUGCGGUCUUUUGCGCAGUUUAAAACGAAUGAAUGUGUCAGAUGGAUUUAUGUGGAAUUUUAAAAACUGCUCUCUUCAAAGACACCGCUAAGUCUUGCAGCGGUAGCAACUGUUGAAGAAAUAAUCUUGUAAAUAAAAUGAUAACGUCGCCGCCUGGUUUUAUGAAACGACCGAUAUUUAUUCAACUACGGUUAAACGUACUUGGGAAGAUGUUAAAUAUUCAAGUGCUACAAACUAAAAGUUUAGAUUGCUCGUCUUCGCUACUUAAUAUGAUGUAAUUUUUACACAUGAUAAUUAAUAUCCUUACGGCUCUUUCGCCGAAGCUUCGGAAGAACGCAUACGCGGCAACCGUCGCAGAUUUCUAACAAACGCGCGCGAUAUCGAUGGCCAACAAAGAAAAGAAUCGGCGUGGCUUUUGAAUAAAAGAGAUUCAGUCUGCCCCGAGCUGCGAAGUGCGAAGGAUUACGCGAAGCAAACGCAGAGAGACGAGUAGUCGACUUCCGAUAACCAGCGUUAAACAUUGUUUGUUAUCAAGCGUUGUUAAUCGUUAACUGUUGUCAAUCGUUGUUUGUUGUUAAUUGUUAUUUGUCGUCAGUUGUCAAAAGUCAAUAAAUGUUAUUGUUGAAAA